UUUUGGGAAAACGGACCAGUACUGACAUUGUUAAACAUAGGACGUGAGAGUGCUGAUAACUAUACCUGCACUGCAGAGAAUACUUACCUAUCUGGAGCAAAAGGACAACAUAGUCAGACAGUUAAUGUCCAAGUAUUAUAUCCACCUUACAAUGCGCCCAUAAAAGACAUGUUUCACACAGAAGGCACGGAUCUAAUGGUGGCGUUUAAGUUUAUGCAUGGAAAUCCCAUUCAGACCGCCGUAUACUGGGCCUGAUCACAGUUAAAUAUUUUUAG